GCUGGGUGUGGUGGCGCACACCUGUAAUCCCAGCAGCUGGGGAGGCUGAGACAGGAGGACUGUGAGUUCAAACCAGCCCCAG
rnacentral:sRNA from 1 species